rnacentral:rRNA from 1 species
UGGGGAAUAUUGGACAAUGGGCGCAAGCCUGAUCCAGCCAUGCCGCGUGAGUGAUGAAGGCCCUAGGGUUGUAAAGCUCUUUUGUGCGGGAAGAUAAUGACUGUACCGCAAGAAUAAGCCCCGGCUAACUUCGUGCCAGCAGCCGCGGUAAUACGAAGGGGGCUAGCGUUGCUCGGAAUCACUGGGCGUAAAGGGUGCGUAGGCGGGUCUUUAAGUCAGUGGUGAAAUACCGGAGCUUAACUUCGGAACUGCCAUUGAUACUAUAUGUCUUGAAUAUUGUGGAGGUAAGCGGAAUAUGUCAUGUAGCGGUGAAAUGCAUAGAUAUGACAUAGAACACCGAUUGCGGAGGCAGCUUGCUACGCAAAUAUUGACGCUGAGGCACGAAAGCGUGGGGAUCAAACA